GUCUCCACCCGAGACUCAGUGAAAUUGAACUCGCUGUGAAGAUGCAGUGUACCCGCGGCAAGACGGAAAGACCCCGUGAACCUUUACUAUAGCUUGACACUGAACACUGGUCCUUGAUGUGUAGGAUAGGUGGGAGGCUUUGAAGCGUGGACGCCAGUCUGCGUGGAGCCAUCCUUGAAAUACCACCCUUUAAUGG
rnacentral:rRNA from 1 species